UGUAAUGAUAUGCCCACACACCAUUAUAAUAAACUAAAAUCUUACAGAAUAAUAAAUAACGGCCAGACUGUUGUUUGUAGAAAUCGGUCACAUCAAAUAAAACCAUUAUCAACGACAAUUAAGAUAUUGGCAUGCAGUUAUGACGUUAUAACGUGUGACUUUAUUUUAUGAUGCCGCUAGAGAAAAGGAAAGAAAAAAUAAAGGAUGAUGCCGCCAAAGAAUAAUCUAGUUCCCAGGCUCACGAUAACUUGUUGAUAAAGUCACCUACCACUCUCUGGUCUGCGUCUUCGCGUCGUCUCUUAGACCAGUGCAUGAGCACCAGUCACCGAGCAACAACGUCCAAAAGUCUUAAAACCGAUUUCAACGAGCGAUACUCUAGGCCCCUUAUGUGAGCAAUAAUCAGUGCGUUUAUUAUUUCGAUUUAUACCCUUUUUUUAAAACAUUAUUCUGUGUAUAUAAAAAAAAACUCUACAAGAUAAUUUACAGGCGACUACGGAUCAGGGUGAGUGGUGUUCUACAGGAGAACCACAUAACAAAGUACUGUUACUUGAUGAUAACGGGAAAGAAGCAAAUGAAAGGAUAGUGAUGUUUGCAACACAUGGAAGGCUUGUCAAUUUAACAAGUUCUUUGAGAUGGUAUAUAGAUGGGAACUUUGCUUUGGCUCCAAAACUAUUUACACAACUGUAUAUUAUACGUGUAGAAAUAAAUAAAAGUUUUACAACAGCGGUAUAUAUACUCUUACAGAAUAAACUUUGAUUACUAAUAACUAAA